rnacentral:miRNA from 12 species
UCGCUGUUCCCGUUAUUUGCGUU